UUCCGGCUGCUGGGCAUUGG
rnacentral:misc_RNA from 1 species